rnacentral:rRNA from 1 species
CCCUACGGGGUGCCUGUUGAAGGGGAUUUUGCCCGACCUGGCGGUCAAUAACGGCUUACCGAUCGACGGGCUGUCGCGAGAUGCUGCCAGCAACCAGGCUUAUAUGGCGGAUCCACUGGUGCACCCCAAAGCCAGCGUGCGGUUGGCGGCGUUUAUGAUCGAGGCGGCGGAAGAUGUGAUGAAUCGAGCCGACGAGUGGAGUGUGCCGCUUUACCUCGCGCACGGCAGCUCCGAUCCCAUCUGCCCGGUUGCCGGCUCGGAUCAGUUCGCGCGCGAGCUGGGCGAAAAGGUGAGCUACAAACGCUGGGAAGGCUUUUACCACGAAACGCACAACGAGCCCGAGAAGGAAACGGUCAUCGCGGCGAUGACGGACUGGAUCGAAAGCCAGCUAAGCUAACAUUUCCACUUAACUUUGGCGGGAGAGC